rnacentral:rRNA from 1 species
CCUACGGGGGGCAGCAGUGAGGAAUAUUGGUCAAUGGUCGGGAGACUGAACCAGCCAAGCCGCGUGAGGGAGGAAGGUACAGAGUAUCGUAAACCUCUUUUGUCAGGGGACAAAGACUGGGACGUGUCCCCGGAUGAGUGUACCUGAAGAAAAAGCAUCGGCUAACUCCGUGCCAGCAGCCGCGGUAAUACGGAGGAUGCGAGCGUUAUCCGGAUUUAUUGGGUUUAAAGGGUGCGCAGGCGGGAGAUCAAGUCAGCGGUAAAAUGUCGGGGCUCAACCCCGGCCGGCCGUUGAA